rnacentral:ncRNA from 1 species
AGAUGACCGAUGACCGGGAAGAGUACCCAGUAAGGCACCGGUUUCAGCGAACCUGGGAUGGUGAGAGCCGGGUACCGGAUUCUGGCGGAAAAUCACCCGUGAGGCGCAGGACUGAACGCGAAAGCGGAUCUUGAAAAAGGACCGUUUUCAGUAAGUUCUGCCGGUUGGCCGCCGAUAACGGCAAACGUGAGGCCGCCCGGUCCGGGGGAUCGGCCGGCGCAUUAGGGUGGUACCGCGGGAAGACCUCUCGCCCCUUAG